AAGCGGUGGAUGAUGUGGAUUAAUUAGAUGCAACGCGAAAAACCUUACGUGCCCUUGACAUGUCUGGAAUGCAGAAGAGAUUUGGCAGUUCUCGCAAGAGAACCGGAACACAGGUGUUGCAUGGCUGUCGUCAGCUCGUGUCGUGAGAUGUUGGGUUAAGUCCCGCAACGAGCGCAACCCUUGUCAUUAGUCCUACGAAAGGGCACUCUAAUGAGACUGCCGGUGACAAACCGGAGGAAGGGGGGGAUGACGUCAAGUCCUCAUGGCCCUUAUGGGUAGGGCUUCACACGUCAUACAAUGGUCGGGACAGAGGGUCGCCAACCCGCGAGGGGGAGCCAAUCCCAGAAAACCGAUCGUAGUCCGGAUCGCAGUCUGCAACUCGACUGCGUGAAGUCGGAAUCGCUAGUAAUCGCGGAUCAGCAUGU
rnacentral:rRNA from 1 species